rnacentral:tRNA from 3 species
GGCCUUGUAUUCAUUUUUGUGAUUGUAGAAUGCAAUUCUAUAGGGGUGAUUGAUUAAUUUACCAAGGCCU